rnacentral:lncRNA from 7 species
CUUUAAUUCUGUUUACCAUUUUAUUGUACAAUAUUCUUUGGUCGUCGUCUUCACCUUGUUCCUUGUCCUGCCUUUCUGGAGUCCUGACGGAGCGCCUGGCACGGCCCUUCCCUCCCCGCGUCCGAUGCAGACUUUCGCUUCCCCCAGGCAACGGCUGCUUCUGUAGCUUCUCUGGCACCGCCUGGAGGCUGCAGGGAGUGCGGGGCCGUUCACCGUCCUCCUGCUGUUGGGAGCAGCUCCUCAGAGACCUCCAGGCCCGGCCCGGCCCUCUUCCUCGGGGUCGCUCUGAGGCCGCACGGAGAUCUCUCGCGGCCGUCCGCUGCACUCCUCCUGUUGUCCUGGUGCCAGUGCUGGUCCUUCCCUUCCCCUCAGAGAUCGGGAAAGAAGAGGUGAGGGAUGUCGGGGAAGGAAGGGAAGGGGGGCAUGGAGCAGCAGCUGGGGCUCUCGGGCGGAUGGUGACUCCUCAACGCGCAGGUGAAAAGCGAGAGCCCCUGGAGCGCUGUUCAUGGAUGCGGCGACGUCGACGGGCAAUCAUGAUCUUAUAGUGGAUGCCCAGCCGUGAUGGAGAUGGAUCCACGUUGACGUCACUCUCUUCGGAGUCUAUCUCCAUGGGCUCCGGCUUGCUGCUGCUCUCCUGCCGGCGACGCUUCUUCGGUGGAGGGGGAUCCGUCCCCCUCCACCACAGCUCUCACCACACGCGGGAAGGGGAUUCAAAUGCUGCUCUUUCUGUCAGAGAGUAGGCUCUCAGUCCCACCACAUUUGGGGCCCCCACCCCAGCUCUGUGUUGUCGCCUUCACUGCCCCUCCCAUGAGGAUGAUUUGAGUAAGGCACAACAACACAUUCAGUAUGAACACAGAAGAGCAGGAAACUCAUCGGCCAUGAGGACAACAGAAACCUUCAGGUCUGAGAGCGCUUCAAUGAACAGCCUCAGACACACACACACACACACACACACACACACACACACACACACACACACCUUGCAUCUGCUAGAGUUUAUUUUUCAAAACAUUCC